GAAAUUUUCUUGCUAUAAAAUGGUUUGCUGACUUGGUCAAUCCCACCAACGACAUUGCCAUUGCUUUUCAUGUCUUGGCCCUUUUGGCUUGUUGUCUGUCUCUUUCCAUAUUCUGUUUCGCUUAGUUUGUAUUUGAAUCUUCUCCAUCAAUAGGCACCAAUCCAAUACCUUGUCUUGCCAUUUUUUUUGCAUUCAAUAUUCAUCAACAUUGCUUUUGUUGUAUCUUCAUUUUAAUAGUCUCUGUUGAUUUUUGGUCACUAAUGGGUCGUGCUGGAGUAUUAAGUAGUUCUCCAAUGCUUUGUGCUCCAUUAAUGGCUCAAUCUGUUGAGCAAAUGAUUACUGACAUGCAUCGCGCAAAGACACAGGGUGCUGACGUUGUUGAGGUCAGGUUGGACUAUCUCAUGAACUUCCAGCCUCGCCAAGACCUCGAAACCAUCCUCAGAAACAAGCCUUUGCCGGUGGUUAUUGUGUAUCGGCCAAAAUGGGAAGGGGGCCUGUAUGAAGGAGAUGAGCACAGAAGACUGGAAGCACUUCGUCUGGCUCAUGAAUUGGGAGCUGAUUAUAUUGAUUUUGAGCUCAAGGUGGCUUCUGAUUUGGUAGGGGAGCUGAAAAAAACACAUCAAACUGGUAGCAAAGUUAUUGUAUCGUGUUAUUUGAACCGUCCAACUCCUUCAAAAGAAGAACUUAGCCGUCUGGUUGGGAUCAUGCAAGCUACUGAAGCAGAUAUUAUCAAAGUUGUUUCCUGUGCAGAUAAUAUUACAGAAUUGGAAACACUUUUCCAUUUGCUUUUACAUUGCCAGGUACCAAUAAUUGCAUACUCCGUGGGGGAAAGAGGUAUCAUAAGCCAGAUAUUAGCUCCAAAAUUUGGUGGUUCUUUAGUCUAUGGAUCCCUGGAAGGAAGUUCAAUUCCUGGUCUGCCUACUUUAGACAGCCUUACAGAAGCCUAUAAGGUUGAGUCCAUAAAUUCAGAAACUAAAGUUUUUGGUCUAAUUUCUAAACCAGUUGGCCACAGCAAAGGUCCCAUAUUGCAUAAUCCUACCUUCAGACGUGUGAACUAUAAUGGAAUUUAUGUCCCAAUGUUUGUUGAUGAUCUCAAGGAAUUCUUUAGUGUCUACUCAAGCCCUGACUAUGCUGGUUUUAGGUAUGGCUUUUACAAGCUUAUUUUCGAUCUAAAGUAAGAGAACAUAAACUUGUUAAAUAGUUAAUUGUUGUAAAACAUCAUUUGAGAAAUGUAAUUUUUAUUGAUAUCCUGUCCAUUUUGCAUAAAAUUUAAGAAUAUUUGUCAAGAUAAAAUGAUGUCUAUUUGUUUGCUACAUAUUGCUUGGUUCAUAUAUAAUAGCUUUUUUUACCAGUCAGCUUAUUUUCAAUCUUGGUAACUACAUAAUCUGAUCUACGCUUUGUUGUCUUAAUUUUUCAUUUGGUUCAUUUGUUUGAACUGUAGUGUUGGAUUUCCGUACAAGGAAGCUGUUGUCAAGUUUUGUGAUGAAGUCCAUCCACUUGCAAAGGUUGACAUCGUUGAGAUUUGUAUUCUUGAUGAUCAACAUGAUCUAGAUAAUAGUAAUCUUGUCUUUUUAUAUUUCAUUAUAAUCAACUUUAUACGCUUUAUUAGUCUAUAGGUGCUGCAAACACCAUUGUUAGGAGGCCUAGUGAUGGGAAGUUGAUAGGUUAUAAUACAGAUUGUGAGGCUUCAAUAACUGCUAUGGAGGAUGCUUUAAAAGGUAAUGAGUCUAAAUGGCAUAAGCUACUCAAUUAUGUACCUUUGGAGUGUUAUAUUUUAAUGCUUUUUGAUGUUGAUUAUAGCCAUUGAUAGAUAAUCAAAUCUAGCUUUUGAAAUAGUUAUAUUGUGUAUUGGAAUAUUACAGAACAAGGAUACAUCAAUAGCAAAGCAUCUCCUAUCUCUGCACUAACAGGAAGACAGUUUGUGCUAGUUGGGGCUGGAGGGGCAGGAAGAGCACUUGCAUUUGGUGCUAAAAGUAGGGGUGCCCGUAUAAUCAUUUUCGAUGUUGAUUUUGGUAUAUACAUUUUUUUAUCAUUUCUUUUCUACAGUGUGCUGCAGUACACUAUUGGUAUUUUAAUGAACUGGAGCAUCUGAAAUUUAUUUUUCAUCUCUAAUGUUUAUCCAAAAAGAGAGAGCAAAGUCUCUGGCACAUGGGGUUUCGGGUGAAGCUCAGCCUUUCGAAAAUCUAGUUCAUUUCCAGCCAGAGGAUGGAGCAAUCCUGGCAAAUGCAACACCUUUAGGAAUGCAUCCAAAUACAGAUAGAAUUCCUGUGGCUGAGGUUCUUUCUGCUUCACAGAUAAAACAAAAUUCCAUUCAGGUUUUUGUUAUUAAAACUUCUGUUCAAUUUUUUCUUUUUCAAGGCAACCCUGGGGAUCUAUCACCUGGUCUUUGAUGCUGUCUAUACACCUAGAAAAACCAGACUAUUAAAAGAAGCCGAAGCAGCAGGAGCAAUCAUAGUAAGUGGGGUUGAAAUGUUCCUUAGACAAGCAAUCGGCCAGUUCAACCUCUUCACGGGCAGAGAAGGUAUCUCUUCAACUUUGAGGACAAGUUGGAAGCUAGCCUUAGUACUUUAUUGUUUAUUAGCUUAAAAUACUUGUUUUAUGGCUGUUCUCAAUCCUGACUUGCUGCUGAGUUUUGUCCUUCAUGAUUUUUUUGAAUUUUGAUAUCCAUCUUGUGCCACCAUGAAAAAGCAGGUGACCCAAAAUUGUUUUUUUGUUAACUGGUGUCUUAGCCUUGUGGUAAAGAUGAGGUUAUCUAGGAUUAGAUGUCAGGGUUAAAUCUCACUAGUAGCAAUCCCUCUCCCUCAAUACUCCAAAACAAAGAAGUUGCUUUCAUUUGUGCUCAGAGAACCCUCAAAGCAAACAUGUUCUGAUUGUUUUCUGUGUUCACUAAUAUUAUAUAGAUGAUCUCACUUUUGCUGGUUUGCUUUUGCUUCCUGUUUUUUGGCAGCACCGACAGAUUUCAUGCGAGAGAUUGUUUUAGCCAAGUUCUGAAGCAUUGCAUCACAAGAAAACUUUUGUGAUGUGGAAUCUCACCCUGUCAUUUGCAAUUGUCUACCAAUAAACCGAAGCUGAUGAACUGUUCAAACUAGCUUCAACAUUAUCUAGUUGGUGCAGCUUAAUUCAUUGCCAAGCAAAGACCUAGCUUAGUUUCCAACAAUAACUAAAAAGUAAAGCCACUUACUGGACCAGAAACAGCAUUUUCUUGGACAAAAAUUCAUAACAAUACAAAUUGUUAAGUAUUAAAAAUAAAAUAAACCUAAUUUCACUAUUCAUCAUCUUCCUCCUCCAUUCUAUUCUCUCAUAUUCCUGUAAACAAAAUUCUGUGGAAAACUAGUGUCUGGUGAAAAAUUAUAGUAUAUGUGUCAAUUUUCCAGAUGGU
rnacentral:misc_RNA from 1 species